UGACCUCGGAUCAGGUAGGGAUACCCGCUGAACUUAAGUAUAUCAUGAAGUCGGAGGAUAACUAAUUUUAACAAGGUUGACCUCGGAUCAGCAGGAGUACCCG
rnacentral:rRNA from 1 species